CCAAGGAGUCUAGCAUGUGCGCGAGUCAUUGGGACACGUACGAAACCUAAAGGCGUAAUGAAAGUGAAGGUUCGCCUUGCGCGAACCGAGGGAGGAUGGAUGAUCGUUAGUGGUCGUCCCGCACUCCCUGGGCGUCUCAUUCUCAUCGCGAGAAGAGGCGCACCAAGAGCGUACACGCUGGGACCCGAAAGAUGGUGAACUAUGCCUGGUCAGGACGAAGUCAGGGGAAACCCUGAUGGAGGUCCGUAGCGAUUCUGACGUGCAAAUCGAUCGUCGGAACUGGGUAUAGGGGCGAAAGACUAAUCGAACCAUCUAGUAGCUGGUUCCCUCCGAAGUUUCCCUCAGGAUAGCUGGCGCUCGCUUCUUGCGAGUCUCAUUCGGUAAAGCGAAUGAUUAGAGGCAUUGGGGUCGAAACGGCCUCAACCUAUUCUCAAACUUUAAAUGGGUGAGAUCUCCGGCUUGCUUGAACUGUUUUAAUGAAGCCGCGAGAUAUCGGAUCAGAGUGCCAAGUGGGCCACUUUUGGUAAGCAGAUCUGGCGCUGUGGGAUGAACCAAACGCCGAGUUAAAGCGCCUAAAUCGACGCUUAUGGGAUACCAUGAAAGGCGUUGGUAACUUAAGACAGCAGGACGGUGGCCAUGGAAGUCGGAAUCCGCCAAGGAGUGUGUAACAACUCACCUGCCGAAGUUACUAGCCCUGAAAAUGGAUGGCGCUGAAGCGUCGUGCUUAUACUCGGCCGUCAGAGGCAUGUGAGACGGUCACAUUGCGGUCGUCAUGAAGCCCUGACGAGUAGGAGGGUCGCGGCGGUGAGCGCAGAAGGACCAGGCGUGAGCCAGUCUGGAGCCGCCGUCGGCGCAGAUCUUGGUGGUAGUAGCAAAUACUCCAGCGAGGCCCUGGAGGACUGACGUGGAGAAGGGUUUCGUGUGAACAGCCGUUGCACACGAGUCAGUCGAUCCUAAGCCAUAGGCGAAAGCCGAUGACGAUGUGGUGUAUCUUUCGGAGACUGUACUCUAAUACACAGAUAGAGAGACGCACACCCAUCUGGCGAAAGGGAAUCCGGUUCCUAUUCCGGAACCCGGCAGCGGAACCGUUAUUAAGUCGUGCCCUCAUUCAGAGAGUUCGUCGGGGCAACCCAAAAGGACCUGGAGACGCCGUCGGGAGAUCCGGGAAGAGUUUUCUUUUCUGCAUAAGCGCUCGAGUUCCAUGGAAUCCUCUAGCAGGGAGAUAUGGUUUGGAGCGCGAAGAGCACCGCAGUUGCGGCGGUGUCCGGAUCUUCCCCUCGGACCUUGAAAAUCCAGGAGAGGGCCACGUGGAGGCGUCGCGCCGGCUCGUACCCAUAUCCGCAGCAGGU
rnacentral:rRNA from 1 species